CAGCCGUAAACUAUGCUCGCUAGGUGUCAGGGACGGUGCGACCGUUUCUGGUGCCGCAGGGAAGCCGUGAAGCGAGCCACCUGGGAAGUACGGUCGCAAGGCUGAAACUUAAAGGAAUUGGCGGGGGAGCACUACAACGGGUGGAGCCUGCGGUUUAAUUGGAUUCAACGCCGGAAAUCUUACCGGGACCGACAGCAACAUGAAGGCCAAGCUGAAGACUUUGCCGGAUUAGCUGAGAGGAGGUGCAUGGCGUAGUCGUGU
rnacentral:rRNA from 1 species